rnacentral:rRNA from 1 species
UACGUAGGGGGCGAGCGUUGUCCGGAUUUAUUGGGCGUAAAGAGCGUGUAGGCGGCCAGGUAGGUCUGCUGUGAAAACUCGAGGCUCAACCUCGAGACGUCGGCGGAAACCAUCUGGCUAGAGUCCGGAAGAGGAGAGUGGAAUUCCUGGGUGUAGCGGUGAAAUGCGCAGAUAUCAGGAAGAACACCCGUGGCGAAGGCGGCUCGCUGGGACGGUACUGACGCUGAGGCGCGAAAGCGUGGGGAGCGAACAGG